UCCUCAGUGACCCGAAGUCUCGGCCAUUUCGUAACGAGAUCCUCACCGGAAUUAAUAAUGGAAGAUUCAAAAGCGGACUUAACCUCUAGCCACGUGCCGAAGAAAUUGACCCAAGAGGAGAUUAACAAAAUGCGUGCGCAGGAUUCGCGUCUGGUGCCGGAAAAUCGGGCAUUAAUGUUAGAAAAAGAUGCUAAAAAAUACUGGGAUUUAUUUUACAAGCGUAACGACACGCGGUUUUUCAAAGACCGCCAUUGGACGACACGUGAGUUCGCGGAAUUAGUGACUAUGAGUUCUCGCGACGGAUCAAUAUUUGAAGUCGGAUGCGGCGUCGGGAAUUUAAUUUAUCCCUUGUUAGAGGACGGAUUAAAUUUUAAACGUAUAUAUGUCUGCGAUUUAUCUCCGCGAGCUAUCGAUUUUGUCAAGAACCAUCGCCUCUAUGAUGAAAAUAAAAUAAAAGCAUUUCAAACGGAUAUUACUACAGAUAAUUGUUUUUCACAAAUCGAUCAACACGUGGACGUCAUUACUUUGAUAUUUGUUCUUUCCGCCAUUCACCCAGAUAAAUUUAAUAUGGUCGCUACUAAUUUAUUCAAUUGUAUGGCCAAGGACGGAGUCCUUUUAUUCCGUGAUUACGGACUUUAUGACAUGGCGCAGCUGAGGUUCAAACCGGGACACAAGAUUGCUGAUAACUUUUACAUGAGGCAAGACGGAACGAGGAGUUAUUAUUUUGCUACGGAAGAGGUCAAGAGCAUUUUCGAGUCAGUCGGCUUCGAAACACUGACCUGCGAGUACGUAAACAGGCGCACGGUCAAUGUUAAAGAAAAUGUCGAUGUCCCAAGGAUUUUCGUUCAAGCGAAAUUCAAAAAACCUUGAAGAGUAUGAAACUCGAGAUGUGCUGAAUAAAUCAUCAAAAGUGAUCUUCAUUGUUAGAACCGAAAAUAAUCGCAGUCACCCUACGUCGAGAAUAUGUACCAGAUCUGGAAUAAUAAUAGACCGGGUUGCAAUCCAUCCUACCUCAAGGACAUUUAAAUAUCAGAUUUCCAGAACGUGAAUAAUUUAAAACUUCAAGAAAAAGAAAUUUAUUAGAAGCUGAACCCGCUCGCUUGACCGGACCGUCAAUUAUUUAAUGAAAUGGUGUCACAACCUCAGAUCUCGAGGCAGUCUACCAGUUCCUCUACUCGAAAUUGGUCUACGGCUUCAAACCUGUGCAGCUGAAACGUUCACACGGUUCUCUGGGGAUUAAAUAAUAAAAUGAUUAAUUUAAAUAAAUAAAAGUAAUAAUUUAUUUACCUUGAGAUCGACGUCUUCUGUGGAUGGAGUUACCCAGAGGACAUCUUGUACAAUAAACACAUAAAAACAAUAUAAAUACAGUUAUUAAAAUAACGGAA